GACGAACGCUGGCGGCGUGCUUAACACAUGCAAGUCGAACGGAAAGGCCCUGCUUUUGUGGGGUGCUCGAGUGGCGAACGGGUGAGUAACACGUGAGUAACCUGCCCUUGACUUUGGGAUAACUUCAGGAAACUGGGGCUAAUACCGGAUAGGAGCUCCUGCUGCAUGGUGGGGGUUGGAAAGUUUCGGCGGUUGGGGAUGGACUCGCGGCUUAUCAGCUUGUUGGUGGGGUAGUGGCUUACCAAGGCUUUGACGGGUAGCCGGCCUGAGAGGGUGACCGGCCAAAUUGGGACUGAGAUACGGCCCAGACUCCUAAGGGAGGCAGAAGUGGGGAAUAUUGCACAAUGGGCGGAAGCCUGAUGCAGCAACGCCGCGUGCGGGAUGACGGCCUUCGGGUUGUAAACCGCUUUCGCCUGUGAAGAAGCGGGAGUGACGGUAAUGGGUAAAGAAGCACCGGCUAACUACGUG
rnacentral:rRNA from 1 species